GUUUGAUCAUGGCUCAGAACGAACGCUGGCGGCAGGCCUCAAACAUGCAAGUCUAGGGGGUGUAGCAAUACAUCACCGGCGGACGGGUGCGUAACGCGUGGGAAUAUACCUAUUGGUUCGGAACAACUGAGGGAAACUUCAGCUAAUACCGGAUGAGCCCGCAAGGGGAAAGAUUUCUCGCCAAUGGAUUAGCCCGCGUCCGAUUAGCUAGUUGGUGGGGUUAUGGCCUACCAAGGCAACGAUCGGUAGCUGUUCUGAGAGGAAGAUCAGCCACACUGGGACUGAGACACGGCCCAGACUCCUACGGGAGGCAGCAGUUGGGAAUCUUGGACAAUGGGGGAAACCCUGAUCCAGCCAUGCCGCGUGAGUGAUGAAGGCCUUCGGGUUGUAAAACUCUUUCGACGGGGACGAUAAUGACGGUACCCGUAGAAGAAGCUCCGGCUAACUUCGUGCCAGCAGCCGCGGUAAUAACCUAAAUAGCGCUGU
rnacentral:rRNA from 1 species